rnacentral:lncRNA from 1 species
UCGCAUGUGAAAAUAGGUUUAAUUCUACUCGAGAAAGAUUGUUAAACAAAUUAGGAAUAUUGGUCUUCAUAAUUGAAUCGUGUUGUCAAUUUUAUAAAAUUCGGAUUAAAGGGGAUUGAUAUAAGGGGAUUCGGGAUCCUAGUACGCAUUUCAUUAUCAUAUUUUUAUAAAACUUGAAUUUAGUUAUAAUCACGCAUUUAAUCUAGUUAAUUUAGGCUUUAUAUUUAUAAGUAGGUUAUUAAAUCAUAAUUUAGUUAGCG